GAUGAACGCUGGCGGCGUGCCUAAUACAUGCAAGUCGAGCGAACAGAUAAGGAGCUUGCUCCUUUGACGUUAGCGGCGGACGGGUGAGUAACACGUGGGUAACCUACCUAUAAGACUGGAAUAACUCCGGGAAACCGGGGCUAAUGCCGGAUAACAUGUUGAACCGCAUGGUUCUACAGUGAAAGGCGGCUUUGCUGUCACUUAUAGAUGGACCCGCGCCGUAUUAGCUAGUUGGUGAGGUAACGGCUUACCAAGGCAACGAUCCGUAGCCGACCUGAGAGGGGGAUCGGCCACACUGGAACGGAGCCACGGUCCAGACUCCUACGGGAGGCAGCAGUAGGGAAUCUUCCGCAAUGGGCGAAAGCCUGACGGAGCAACGCCGCGUGAGUGAUGAAGGUCUUCGGAUCGUAAAACUCUGUUAUUAGGGAAGAACAAAUGCGUAAGUAACUGUGCGCGUCUUGACGGUACCUAAUCAGAAAGCCACGGCUAACUACGUG
rnacentral:rRNA from 1 species